AAGUCGUAACAAGGUUUCCGUAGGUGAACCUGCGGAAGGAUCAUUACAUUCAGUAGCCUAGCUACUUGUUUACACCCUUGUUUUUUGCGUACCUAUUGUUUCCUCGGUGGGCUUGCCUGCCGGUUGGACAAAACCUAUAACCUUUUUAAAUCUUCAAUCAGCGUCUGAAUUAUACAUAAUAAUUACAACUUUCAACAACGGAUCUCUUGGUUCUG
rnacentral:misc_RNA from 1 species